UACGUAGGGGGCAAGCGUUGUCCGGAAUUAUUGGGCGUAAAGAGCGUGUAGGCGGUCCGGUAAGUCAGCUGUGAAAGUCAAGGGCUCAACCCUUGAAUGCCGGUUGAUACUGUCGGGCUAGAGUCCGGAAGAGGCGAGUGGAAUUCCCGGUGUAGCGGUGAAAUGCGCAGAGUAUCAGGAAGAACACCCGUGGCGAAGGCGGCUCUCUGGCACGGUACUGACGCUGAGACGCGAAAGCGUGGGGAGCGAACAGGAUUAGAU
rnacentral:rRNA from 1 species